UACGUAGGGUCCGAGCGUUGUCCGGAAUUAUUGGGCGUAAAGGGCUCGUAGGCGGUCUGUCGCGUCGGGAGUGAAAACUCAGGGCUUAACCCUGAGCCUGCUUCCGAUACGGGCAGACUAGAGGUAUGCAGGGGAGAACGGAAUUCCUGGUGUAGCGGUGGAAUGCGCAGAUAUCAGGAGGAACACCGGUGGCGAAGGCGGUUCUCUGGGACGGUACUGACGCUGAGACGCGAAAGCGUGGGGAGCGAACAGG
rnacentral:rRNA from 1 species